rnacentral:rRNA from 1 species
UACGAGGGGGGCGAGCGUUGUCCGGAAUUAUUGGGCGUAAAGAGCUCGUAGGCGGCUUGUCGCGUCGGAUGUGAAAGCCCGGGGCUUAACUCCGGGUCUGCAUUCGAUACGGGCAGGCUAGAGUUCGGUAGGGGAGAUCGGAAUUCCUGGUGUAGCGGUGAAAUGCGCAGAUAUCAGGAGGAACACCGGUGGCGAAGGCGGAUCUCUGGGCCGAUACUGACGCUGAGGAGCGAAAGCGUGGGGAGCGAACAGG